rnacentral:lncRNA from 1 species
AUUAUCUCUCAAAGGUCCCACCUCCAAAGACCAUCACAUUGGAAAUUAGGUAUUCUACAUAUGAAUUUUCGGGGGACAAAAAUAUUCAAUCCAUAGCCCUCUGGCUCAUCCCAGCUGAUUUAGGGCUGACUUGUUAAUAAGCAAGCAGUUAGGAAGACAUACUAAGCUCAAACGCAAAAGUUUGUAGCUUUUGUUCUCAAAGAUGGUUGCUACACUUCUAAGCACUGAGUCUCUCUUCCAAUCAAGAAGAAGGAAGAAAGAAUUAAAGGUUAAAGAGAUAAAAGUAGGAUAAAAUACCACUCUAAGAGGACUAAGAAAAGCAACCAGCCCACCAUCCUUAGGUGCUUUCCAAAAGUCAUCUCAUCAGCUUGACAGAAGACACCUUUAUCACUGUCAACACUUCCGAAAUUCCAAGGGUUUUGGGAGCAAUGAGCCAGGAACAUGGAGGAAAACCAAAGCCAAUGAAAAUAAGUUGAUUCCUCAUAAUUUUCCUCUGGCCUUGAUCCUCAGGAAUCCCAGAGUAUUUAAAGAUGACUUUCUUCCCUUCGAGAAUGACUUCAAGUGCUUUGUUUUUGCCAUUUGCUGCUUGGAAUACGGUUUCCUCAUCUUAUCCCAAAGGGUGAGAAUCUAAGUUUCAAGUUUCCUUGAUUGCUACCUCUGUCAUAAAGCCUUUCAUAAGGUCCUCC